rnacentral:rRNA from 1 species
GAUGAACGCUGGCGGCGUGCCUAAUACAUGCAAGUCGAGCGAACGGACGCGAAGCUUGCUUCUCUGAUGUUAGCGGCGGACGGGUGAGUAACACGUGGAUAACCUACCUAUCAGACUGGGAUAACUUCGGGAAACCGGAGCUAAUACCGGAUAAUAUUUUGAACCGCAUGGUUCAAAAGUGAAUGACGGUCUUGCUGUCACUUAUCGAUGGAUCCGCGCUGCAUUAGCUAGUUGGUAAGGUAACGGCUUACCAAGGCAACGAUGCAUAGCCGACCUGAGAGGGUGAUCGGCGACACUGGAACUGAGACACGGUCCAGACUCCUACGGGAGGCAGCAGUAGGGAAUCUUCCGCAAUGGGCGAAAGCCUGACGGAGCAACGCCGCGUGAGUGAUGAAGGUCUUCGGAUCGUAAAACUCUGUUAUUAGGGAAGAACAUAUGUGUAAGUAACUGUGCACAUCUUGACGGUACCUAAUCAGAAAGCCACGGCUAACUACGUG